UGACUCCGUGGCGCAACGGUAGCGCGUCUGAUUCCAGAUCAGAAGGUUGCGUGUUCAAAUUACGUGGGGUCAA
rnacentral:tRNA from 1 species